rnacentral:lncRNA from 1 species
UUGAAUAAAGAUAAAAAAUAUAGAUUGAAUAAUUGGGCUUCUAGGUAUACAAACACGCGAACACACAGCAUAAAACCUUUUAAUAUUCAUAUAUAUAUAUAUACAUAUCUAUAUAUAAUGGAUUUUUGUUUUUAAUCAGAAAUCAUGAUGAGUUUAACCCAUUAGAAUGUUAUGUAAGAGGAAGUAAAAAAAAAUACUCAAUUCCUUUUUCGAUCUUGCCUAGUAAAGACGAGCUUGGGAAUUUCCAUCCACCCGUGUAAGUUUAAAUAAAACAAAUAAACACAAACAAAAUAGAUACAAACAUAAUUAAUACGUACCAAUUUCUAUAUUUUUAAUAAAGUUUUUGUAAUUACAAUACUUAUGCAUGCAAUUUUUUUAUACAAAUUAUAUACAUUCAUAUAUGAACAUUCACUUUAUUUAUUUAUUUUAGAUUUAUUUAUUUAUUUUUUUUUUUUUUUUUUUUACUUAUUUUAUUUUUUUUUUUUGUAGAUUAUCAGGAAGGUAUAAAGCCGAUAUAGAGAAACAAUAUUAUAUGCACGAUUUGCCAUGGGUGUGGCAUAGAAGCUUUUACGAAGGUACUAACCAUUUUUGUGAUAACAUGGUUGUAGGAAAAAAAAAAUGGUACAUGAAAGAACAGCGAGAAGAAAGAAUGAAGGAGGCCCUAAAAAAAAUGAAUGAUAUGGUUUUGGAAUAUAGAGAGGAAUGUAAAAACAAAAAGAAGUAUAAUUUUUUUGAAAAGGCUGUUAAUACUUUGGGAGAUGAAGUAGCACAUAAAUAUAUUCGAAAAAUAAAAAAUAUUUAUUUAUAAUUAUUAUUAUUAUUAUUUUUUUUUUUUUUGUACCUCUUUCCUUUUGAAAAAAAGGACAUCGUAAGAUAAAACAUGACAUUGUAACAUAAAAUAGGUAAAAAUAUUUGACUUUAUUAAUUGUGCUUUAAGGUAUGUUACACUAUUGCAUUGUGUAUUAUAUGUAUGUAUUGUGUAAUGAAUUUUUUUAUUUUUUUAACUUUAUACAAUUGGUUUGGUAUUACCACCACUAUUACUAUUGUUAAAAUUGUUGUUACUUUUAUGAUAUUUAAUUUUUAUACUUUUGGACGUGUAAAAAUAUAUUAAAAAAAAAAAUGAAAAAAUGAAAAAAUAAAAAAGACAAAAAACAAAAAACA